UACGUAGGGUGCAAGCGUUUAAUCGGAAUUACUGGGCGUAAAGCGUGCGCAGGCGGCUAUGCAAGACAGAUGUGAAACUCCCGGGCUCAACCUGGGAACUGCAUUUGUGACUGCAUCGCUGGAGUGCGGCAGAGGGGGAUGGAAUUCCGCGUGUAGCAGUGAAAUGCGUAGAUAUGCGGAGGAACACCGAUGGCGAAGGCAAUCCCCUGGGCCUGCACUGACGCUCAUGCACGAAAGCGUGGGGAGCAAACAGG
rnacentral:rRNA from 1 species